rnacentral:rRNA from 1 species
AGCAGCCGCGGUAAUUCCAGCUCCAAUAGCGUAUAUUAAAGUUGUUGCAGUUAAAAAGCUCGUAGUUGAAUUUCGGGGUUAGUAGGUUGGUCAUGCCUCUGGUAUGUACUGGUCUCACUGAUUCCUCCUUCCUGAUGAACCGUAAUGCCAUUAAUUUGGUGUUGCGGGGAAUUUGGACUGUUACUUUGAAAAAAUUAGAGUGUUUAAAGCAAGCUAACGCUUGAAUACAUUAGCAUGGAAUAAUGAAAUAGGACGUUCGAUCCUAUUUUGUUGGUUUCUAGGAUUGACGUAAUGAUUAAUAGGGAUAGUUGGGGGCAUUAGUAUUCAAUUGUCAGAGGUGAAGUUCUUGGAUUUAUUGAAGACUAACUACUGCGAAAGCAUUUGCCAAGGAUGUUUUCAUUAAUCAAGAACGAAAGUUAGGGGAUCGAAGACGAUCAGAUACCGUCGUAGUCUUAACCAUAAACUAUGCCGACUAGGGAUCGGAUGAUGUUAAUUUUUAAUGACUCAUUCGGCGCCUUAC